rnacentral:rRNA from 1 species
GACGAACCGUGCUAACGUUAUUCGGAAUCACUGGGCUUAAAGGGCGCGUAGGCGGGUCGGACAGUCAGGGGUGAAAGCCCGCGGCUCAACCGCGGAAGCGCCUUUGAUACUGCCGGUCUGGAGGGAGGUAGGGGAGUGCGGAACUUCCGGUGGAGCGGUGAAAUGCGUAGAUAUCGGAAGGAACACCAGUGGCGAAAGCGGCGCUCUGGACCUCUUCUGACGCUGAGGCGCGAAAGCCAGGGGAGCAAACGGG